rnacentral:rRNA from 1 species
UCGAGAAUUUUUCUCAAUGGGCGAAAGCCUGAAGGAGCGACGCCGCGUGGGGGAUGAAUGGCUUCGGCCCGUAAACCCCUGUCAUUUGCGAACAAACCUCGUUAUUUAAAAGAUGACGAGCUGAUUGUAGCGAAAGAGGAAGGGACGGCUAACUCUGUGCCAGCAGCCGCGGUAAUACAGAGGUCCCAAGCGUUGUUCGGAUUCACUGGGCGUAAAGGGUGCGUAGGUGGCCGGGUAAGUCUGAUGUGAAAUCUCCGAGCCUAACUCGGAAACUGCAUCGGAUACUAUUCGGCUGGAGGGUUGGAGGGGGGACUGGAAUACUUGGUGUAGCAGUGAAAUGCGUAGAUAUCAAGUGGAACACCAGUGGCGAAGGCGAGUCCCUGGACAACUCCUGACACUGAGGCACGAAAGCUAGGGGAGCAAACAGGAUUAGAUACCCCCGUAGUCC